rnacentral:lncRNA from 1 species
UCACGCUGGGAGCUGUAGACCGGAGCUGUUCCUAUUCGGCCAUCUUGAAUUGUAGGCAUUUUUAAAAACAGACUCUGGAGAUGAAUCUUUUCUAGUUAUAUACUUUAGUGUGUACUAGUCUCAGUAAGUCAAUGGGUUUCCCUGGAUCCAGGCUUGGAGAAAAUGUUUUCUCUUCUCUAUCUGCAAUUCUCCUGAACCAAUUCUGACGGAUAAUAUGACUGUGUCAACCACAAAAGAGGAAAAGAAUGGGCUUUAAAUCCCGCCUUUACAGCCAUCCAAGGCAGCUCCUUCUUCAAAGGAUGGAACUUUAAGGAUGGAACCAAUUGGCUACAAAUCAUUUUAGCUGAUGCACUGAGACAAUUCUGAAGCAAACUGUCUUAUCCUGGAUUUUGUCAGUAACUGGAGUUGAAGGACUUGAAGAUUCUCAAGGAUUGAUCCAGAAUAUGUUCCAGCAAAAACUACAGCAGAGUAACUUUGACAAGAAAAAUGUUCACUUGCUACCUAAGGAGAGUCUCUGUCUCCUGACCUCUGAAUUUCGAAAUCCUCAGCUCUGGCUGCCACGCAGUGGGAACCGAAUGAGAUGGCUGGGCAGGGUUCUGCAACACAGCAGAAACCCCAGGCUUCCCAAGACCCAGGAUCAGAACUGUAUAAUGUCACUUCUGCCUCACUUUGUUGGACAAAGUAUGUCACAAGAUCAUCUCAGUGGUGGUAAAAUUAUUAUUAUUAUUAUUUUAAGGCAGAGUCUCACUUUGUCACCCAGGCUGGAGUGCAGUGGUGUGAUC